rnacentral:rRNA from 1 species
UGUGAGAGCAAGAGCCCGGAGAUGGAUUCUGAGACACGAAUCCAGGCCCUACGGGGUGCAGCAGGCGCGAAAACUUUACAAUGCUGGCAACAGCGAUAAGGGAACCUCGAGUGCCAGGUUACAAAUCUGGCUGUCGAGAUGCCUAAAAAGCAUUUCAUAGCAAGGGCCGGGCAAGACCGGUGCCAGCCGCCGCGGUAACACCGGCGGCUCGAGUGGUAACCGUUAUUAUUGGGUCUAAAGGGUCUGUAGCCGGCCGGAUAAGUCUCUUGAGAAAUCCAGCAGCUCAACUGUUGGGCUUUCAGGAGAUACUGUUCGGCUCGAGGCCGGGAGAGGUGAGAGGUACUUCAGGGGUAGGGGUGAAAUCUUGUAAUCCUUGAAGGACCACCAGUGGCGAAGGCGUCUCACCAGAACGGACCUGACGGCAAGGGACGAAAGCUAGGGGCACGAACCGGAUUAGAUACCCGGGUAGUCCUAGCCGUAAACGAUACUCGCUAGGUGUCGGCCACGGUGCGACCGUUGUCGGUGCCGUAGGGAAGCCGUGAAGCGAGC